CGGACGUGGAUAACCUGCCUUGCACUGGGGGAUAACACUUAGAAAUAGGUGCUAAUACCGCAUAAGCGCACAGAGCCGCAUGGCUCAGUGUGAAAAACUCCGGUGGUGUAAGAUGGAUCCGCGUCUGAUUAGCUGGUUGGCGGGGUAGAAGCCCACCAAGGCGACGAUCAGUAGCCGGCCUGAGAGGGUGAACGGCCACAUUGGGACUGAGACACGGACCAGACUCCUACGGAAGGCAGCAG
rnacentral:rRNA from 1 species